rnacentral:rRNA from 1 species
CCUACGGGAGGCAGCAGUGAGGAAUAUUGGUCAAUGGACGAGAGUCUGAACCAGCCAAGUAGCGUGAAGGAUGACUGCCCUAUGGGUUGUAAACUUCUUUUAUAUGGGAAUAAAAUGUUCCACGUGUGGGAUUUUGUAUGUACCAUAUGAAUAAGGAUCGGCUAACUCCGUGCCAGCAGCCGCGGUAAUACGGAGGAUCCGAGCGUUAUCCGGAUUUAUUGGGUUUAAAGGGAGCGUAGGUGGAUUGUUAAGUCAGUUGUGAAAGUUUGCGGCUCAACCGUAAAAUUGCAGUUGAAACUGGCAGGCUUGAGUACAGUAGAGGUGGGAGGAAUUGGUGGGGGUGCGGUGAAAUGUU